rnacentral:rRNA from 1 species
UACGGAGGGUGCAAACGUUGUUCGGAAUCAUUGGGCGUAAAGCGCGCGUAGGCGGCCUGUUAGGUCGGGUGUGAAAUCCCAGAGCUCAACUCUGGAAUUGCGCUCGAAACCGGCAGGCUUGAGUCCCGGAGGGAGAAGUGGAAUUCCUGGUGUAGGGGUGAAAUCCGUAGAUAUCAGGAGGAACACCGGCGGCGAAGGCG